CCCAUGCCCUGAGGCAAUCGCAUGCUGAUCAUAGAUGGGCAAAUAUGAGAGUCAAGACAGGUCGCUCGAUCCCAUCUCCAUCGUAUACUAUGCUCCUCCUAAUCUAAGACCUACUCGAAGUGUCCUCCUAUGACAAUAAGAAUCUCAUCUUGCGAUAUCGCCUCUCAUCCUCUCGAGUCUCGCAUCUUAUGCUCGAUCCAUCUCUAUCUGGAGCUCUACCUCGCUCUGGGCUCCUAGUUUCUGAAGCUCCAUCUCGCACUGGGCUCUCCACUAGGUAGUAACGUCCUCUCAUUCUCUUUUUCUUCUCCAGAAUAAUCCUAUCGCCACACAACACUUUCAGGAUUCCUCCACCAGCAACCGUUCUGUAGCCUCUCGAAUCAGUCUGCUUAGUGAGA
rnacentral:lncRNA from 1 species